UACGAAGGGGGCUAGCGUUGCUCGGAAUCACUGGGCGUAAAGGGUGCGUAGGCGGGUUCUUAAGUCAGAGGUGAAAUCCUGGAGCUCAACUCCAGAACUGCCUUUGAUACUGAGAGUCUUGAGUACGGGAGAGGUGAGUGGAACUGCGAGUGUAGAGGUGAAAAUUCGUAGAUAUUAGGAAGAACACCAGUGGCGAAGGCGGACUCACUGGCCCGGUACUGACGCUGAGGCGCGAAAGCGUG
rnacentral:rRNA from 1 species